UACGUAGGGGGCAAGCGUUGUCCGGAUUUAUUGGGCGUAAAGAGCGUGUAGGCGGCCAUACAGGUCAGCUGUGAAACUCGAGGCUCAACCUCGAGACGUCGGUUGAAACCGUUUGGCUAGAGUCCGGAAGAGGAGAGUGGAAUUCCCGGUGUAGCGGUGAAAUGCGCAGAUAUCGGGAAGAACACCCGUGGCGAAGGCGGCUCUCUGGGACGGUACUGACGCUGAGACGCGAAAGCGUGGGGAGCAAACAGG
rnacentral:rRNA from 1 species